rnacentral:rRNA from 1 species
GAUGAACGCUGGCGGCGUGCCUAAUACAUGCAAGUCGAGCGAACGGACGAGAAGCUUGCUUCUCUGAUGUUGGCGGCGGACGGGUGAGUAACACGUGGAUAACCCACCUAUAAGACUGGGAUAACCUCGGGAAACCGGAGCUAAUACCGGAUGAUAUUUUGAUCCGCAGGGUUCAAAAGUGAAAUACGGUCUUUCUGGCUCUUAUAGCUGGUUCCGGGCUGCAUUGGCUAGUUGGUAAGGUAACGGCUUAUCAAGGCAACGAUGCAUAGCCGACCUGAGAGGGUGAUCGGCCACACUGGAGGUGAGACACGGUCCAGACUACUGCGGGAGGCAGCAGUAGGGAAUCUUCCGCAAUGGGCGAAAGCCUGGCGGAACAACGGGGCGUGUGUGGUAAAGGUCUUCGGAUCGUGAAGCUCUGUUAUGAGGGAAGAACAUAUGUGUAAGUAACUGUGCACAGCGUGACGGUACCUGAUCAGGAAGCCACGGCUAACUACGUG